UAUUUUGAUAUAUUUAUCACAAAUCUUUUUUCGCAUAAAUCUUUAUAAAAUAAGUUGUCAUUUUAAUAAAUUUUAUUUAAAUAAAAUUAACUAUUAAAUUAUUUUUAUAUAACUUUUAUUUAAUUAAUAAUUAGAGUUAUAAAAUUAUUUAAAAAUAUAAAAAAUUAAAAUUUAUUAAAAAAAAUUUUAAAUUCGCAGCAUCACACGGGUAUUUUACUAGUGUUGUCAAUAUAGAGGAGAAU
rnacentral:lncRNA from 1 species